UACGGAGGAUGCGAGCGUUAUCCGGAUUUAUUGGGUUUAAAGGGUGCGUAGGCGGUCGGAUAAGUUAGAGGUGAAAGCCUUCGGCUCAACCGGAGAAUUGCAUCAGAAACUGUUGAACUUGAGUGCAGAAGAGGAGAGUGGAACUCCAUGUGUAGCGGUGGAAUGCGUAGAUAUAUGGAAGAACACCAGUGGCGAAGGCGGCUCUCUGGUCUGCAACUGACGCUGAGGCUCGAAAGCAUGGGUAGCGAACAGG
rnacentral:rRNA from 1 species